rnacentral:rRNA from 1 species
GACGUAGGGUCCAAGCGUUGUCCGGAUUUACUGGGCGUAAAGAGCGCGUAGGCGGCUCGGUAAGUGUGAAGUGAAAUCUCUAGGGCUCAACCCAGAAACUGCUUUACAUACUGUCGAGCUGGAGUGAUGAAGAGGAGAGUGGAAUUCCUGGUGUAGCGGUGAAAUGCGCAGAUAUCAGGAAGAACACCCGUGGCGAAGGCGGCUCUCUGGGACGGUACUGACGCUGAGACGCGAAAGCGUGGGGAGCGAACAGG